rnacentral:rRNA from 1 species
GACGAACGCUGGCGGCGUGCUUAACACAUGCAAGUCGAACGGGCCCGCUCUCUUUUUUGGGGGUGGGUUGAGUGGCGAACGGGUGAGUAUCACGUGAGUAACCUGCCCCCUGCUCCUGGAUAACUGCUUGAAAGGGCGGCUAAUACGGGGUGUGCCGGCUGGUCCGCAUGGGCCUGGUCGGGAUAGUUUCAUCUUCGGGUGUUUCGGUGGGGGAUGGGCUCGCGGCCUAUCAGCUUGUUGGUGGGGUGAUGGCCCACCAAGGCGGUGACGGGUAGCCGGCCUGAGAGGGUGGGCGGCCACACUGGGACUGAGACACGGCCCAGACUCCGGCGGGAGGCAGCAGUGGGGGGUAUUGCACAAUGGGCGGAAGCCUGAUGCAGCGACGGCGCGUGAGGGAUGGAGGCCUUCGGGUUGUGAACCUCUUUCUCCGGUGGUGAAGGCCCUGUCCGGUGCGGCGGGGUUGACGGUAGCCGGGUAUGAAGCGCCGGCUAACUACGUG